AUUCUUACUUGGUAGGGGUGACACUGAUCACCAUGGCAGGUCUCCCACGGCAAGGCUCACCCAUAGCACUCUGGGUGUACUGACCCUUGCGUUUUACUCAACUGCGUAAUUUAUUUUAGUGGGGACUGUGCUUUUUCCUG
rnacentral:snRNA from 1 species